AUUGAACGCUGGCGGCAUGCCUUACACAUGCAAGUCGAACGGUAACAGGUCUUCGGAUGCUGACGAGUGGCGAACGGGUGAGUAAUACAUCGGAACGUGCCUAGUAGUGGGGGAUAACUACUCGAAAGAGUGGCUAAUACCGCAUGAGAUGCACGGAUGAAAGCAGGGGAUCGCAAGACCUUGUGCUACUAGCGCGGCCGAUGGCAGAUUAGGGAGUUGGUGGGAUAAAAGCUUACCAAGCAGACGAUCUGUAGCUGGUCUGAGAGGACGAUGAGCCACACUGGGACUGAGACACGGCCCAGACUCCUACGGGAGGCAGCAGUGGGGAAUUUUGGACAAUGGGCGAAAGCCUGAUCCAGCAAUGCAGCGUGCAGGAUGAAGGCCUUCGGGUUGUAAACUGCUUUUGUACGGAACGAAAAGCCCCGGGUUAAUACCCUGGGGUCAUGACGGUACCGUAAGAAUAAGCACCGGCUAACUACGUGCCAGCAGCCGCCGUAA
rnacentral:rRNA from 1 species